CCCCGCAGCAUCAUAAUCUCUAGCCUUCGUUAAGUUCUUUCUCUGCGGCUCACACCACGCUAGGUGCUUUGCAUGUGUUAUCUCUUGGAUAAAAUAAUCCCAAGGCACAGGUCUUAUUGUUAUAUUGUUAUGGUCUGCAAAAUGAGGAUUCGAUGAGAUAACCAAUAGAGGGCGUUAAUUAUUAAUACAAUGGCACUCCUCUCCCACUUUUUCCUUCCUGACUUCAUGCCACCUCUUAACCACUUGGCCAGAAUUCAGAGUUAUGGCCCCUUCUCUUUCGGACGGGUUAACGUGUUUGCUUUUUGCCAUAACUUGUUAGCCUUUGUCCUCUUGCCUGUUAGCUUGUCGGUUACUCAGUGUGAAAUGUGCUCAGUAAUGACACAACACAGAAGUACAACUCAGCAUAUCGAAAGGUGCACUAUGCUCUUGCCUGGGAAGACUGAACAUCCUAAAGAGCAGAAGGACAGUGAUUGAGCCGCGGCCAAGGAGAACAGCAGGAUGAGUCAGCGAAAUGACACCCAAGGGCCACAAACACACAGGAAGCUGGACCUCUCCAAGUCACCGUCCUCUGGCUCUCGGCCGUCAGGCAAAGAUGCACCCAUCCCCAUGUGCUCACAUCACAGCCGCCACAGCUGUGAGGCCGAGCUGGUGGCACUCUCCAUGACGCUGUCCUGGCUGGAAAGCUGUCACCCCCACAUGGCUGAAGGUCCCCUUGCUGUAUGGAGCAUGUUUCUUGGUCCCGGCAGAGAUAGGACACCCAUGUUCUCCACUCUCGAGAUGACAUACAGGCCUGUGGGAAGGCGUCGGAAUUCAGAGCCAGGCAGCCGUGGGUUCUGAUUCCAGCCCAGUCCCUUGGUGGUUUUAUGAUCACCAGCAGGGGGUGUUGGUUUCCUCAUAAGGAGAAGGAGGCUAUGUGGGAGCUUCUGUGACAGACAGACAUGCUGUGACUGCACAUACGGAUGCUAGUUUGGACGGGAGUGAUGUCACCAACAGCCAGCUGUGUCGCCGAAGAGUGAGAUGGAGCCCGGCACAGCUUUCUCUCCCAUUGUCUUUCUGCUCGAGGGCAGGUCUGUCUGUGAGACUGUAGCUUUUCCCUGAGAAUGGUGGCGGGACAAUUCGGAGUCUUCCUCGCUUUAUGAUGGGUCUGUAACACAGACCCGCUAGACUAGUGAGGUCAGCCACAAGCCUACGCAGAUGCUUAGCGGGAGCAAAUGCUGAUUUCUUGGGUGUGCCAGGUGCCGGCUAUAUAAAGCGAGAGCUCCCUGAGGCUGUGCCCUGUGGACGAUAUUUCAAAAGCAGCAUGGUUGUAGCGCCUACCUUCAAGAAGUUCGCAUGUGGCGUAAGUGACGGGAGAAGGAGAAAGGGUAAGUCAAUACACAGAACAGUGACAUAGGAGCAAUGCGUGACUACGUUCACCCGGGCGUGUACGUGAGCACCACGUAGAAUGUUAGAAAAGGAGAAGUUAUAAGGUCAUCUCACAAUCCACACUUUGCAGGGGCGCCUGGGUGGCUCAGUGGGUUGAGCAACCCACUUCGGCUCGUCUCGAUCUCACGGUUUGUG